UUUACCACGUUUCCGCGGAUGCCGGUCUUCCCGUGCUAUUACCGGAGUAGCUGGUUUCGAUGAUCUCUUCAAACUCGUAAUUUAGACUGUCCGUGAAGCUCUUGACGCUAACAGUAAAAGAGGAUAGAUAGCAAACCUAGAGGGAAGUAUCGGAGCCUCUGAAACCGCCGGGACUAGGAAAACUGAGAACCGCCGAGGACCUGAAGAUAGACUCGACGACUCAUCGCCUUCAGACAAGACGGGCUGCAGUGAAGGUGAAUCCAGAAACAAAUGCUU
rnacentral:lncRNA from 1 species